rnacentral:snoRNA from 1 species
AAUCCCAAUGAUGAAUUAUAUGAAGAAAAAAAAAAUGUUAAAAGUAGUGCCUGAUUACACCUUGAUUACUAAUCAAUUCUGAGGGAUU